UACGGAGGGGGCUAGCGUUGUUCGGAAUUACUGGGCGUAAAGCGUACGUAGGCGGCUUUGUAAGUUAGAGGUGAAAGCCCGGGGCUCAACCCCGGAAUUGCCUUUAAGACUGCAUCGCUUGAAUCAUGGAGAGGUGAGUGGAAUUCCGAGUGUAGAAGUGAAAUUCGUAGAUAUUCGGAAGAACACCAGUGGCGAAGGCGGCUCACUGGACUGGUAUUGACGCUGAGGUGCGAAAGCGUGGGGAGCAAACAGG
rnacentral:rRNA from 1 species